GAUAAGAACGCAGCGAAAUGCGAUAAGUAAUGUGAAUUGCAGAAUUCAGUGAAUCAUCGAAUCUUUGAACGCACAUUGCGCCCGCUGGUAUUCCGGCGGGCAUGCCUGUUCGAGCGUCAUUUCAACCCUCAAGCUCUCCGGAGUUUGGUGUUGGGGCGCCUGGGGCUUUUCGACCUCAGGGCCCUCAAGUCCAUCGGCGGGACCGCCAGGACACUGAGCGCAGUAGUAUUAUUUCGCUCGGUAGGAUCUUCCACGGCGGGUCGAUCUGGCCGCUAAACCCCCCAAUUCUCACCAAAGGUUGACCUCGGAUCAGGUAGGAAUACCCGCUGAACUUAAGCAUAUCAAUAAGCGGAGGA
rnacentral:misc_RNA from 1 species